CGUAACAAGGUUUCCGUAGGUGAACCUGCGGAAGGAUCAUUAUCAAAAGUCAAGUCGGGGGCUGCAAAGCCUUCGUCUACACCCAUGUCUUUUGCGUACUUCUUGUUUCCUCGGUGGCGCAAGCCGCCGAUUGGACAAACCAAAACCUUUUUUGUAAUUGCAAUCAGCGUCUGAAAAUAAUCUAAUUAUUUACAACUUUCAACAACGGAUCUCUUGGUUCUGGCAUCGAUGAAGAACGCAGCGAAAUGCGAUAAGUAGUGUGAAUUGCAGAAUUCAGUGAAUCAUCGAAUCUUUGAACGCACAUUGCGCCCCUUGGUAUUCCAUGGGGCAUGCCUGUUCGAGCGUCAUUUGUACCCUCAAGCUUUGCUUGGUGUUGGGCGUCUUGUCGUAUUACGACUCGCCUUAAAUACAUUGGCAGCCGGCACUUUGGCCUAGGAGCGCAGCACAUUUUGCGAUCGUAGCCCGUUGUACUGGCGUCCAUCAAGAACAUUUACCACGUUUGACCUCGGAUCAGGUAGG
rnacentral:rRNA from 1 species